GUUACGGCCGCGGUAUUUUGACCGUGCAAAGGUAGCGCAAUCACUUGUCUUUUAAAUGAAGACCUGUAUGAAUGGUGGAACGAGGGCCUAACUGUCUCCCCUUUCAAGUCAAUGAAAUUGAUCUAUCCGUGCAGAAGCGGGUAUAUAACUACAAGACGAGAAGACCCUUUGGAGCUUAAGAUUAAAAAUCAACUAUGUCAAAUAUUUACUAAUAGAACUAAAUAGUAACUGAUUAUAAUCUUCGGUUGGGGCGACCACGGAAUAAAAAUAAACUUCCACAUGGACUGAGGAAUAACCUUAAAACCAAGAAAAACAUUUCUAAGUCACAGAAUUUCUGACCACACAGAUCCGGCAAACUGCCGAUCAAUGGACCAAGUUACCCUAGGGAUAACAGCGCAAUCCCCUUUCAGAGUUCCUAUCGACAAGGGGGUUUACGACCUCGAUGUUGGAUCCAGGACAUCCUAAUGGUGCAGC
rnacentral:rRNA from 1 species